UGGCCUCUCCGUCUCCGUCACCCUCCGUCUGUCCUUCUUCGUAAUAAUAGAAUGUAUACUUCGACCCCUCUGUCACCCCGUCGACGUCGUUAGCUGGCGGAAGAGCUGGAAUGGGACAGGGAGGUGCAGCCUCAGCGGAGGAGGUAUUGGCUGGCGGCUGGGCCAGCUGGGACCCACUUGUAUUUCGAUCAAUAAGAGGUUGUUGGUGGUCGGGCUUGUCCGAAAACGAGGUGGUUCUGAUCCUCCAAAAGCUGAUGGCGGCUGUUAUAACGGCGACCCACGCCCACAGAUUAUUGACGACGGUGAAAACACCGAAGGUGGC
rnacentral:lncRNA from 1 species